rnacentral:rRNA from 1 species
AGUGAACGCUGGCGGCAGGCCUAAUACAUGCAAGUCGAACGGCAGCACAGUAAGAGCUUGCUCUUACGGGUGGCGAGUGGCGGAAGGGUGAGGAAUACAUCGGAAUCUACUUUUUCGGGGGGGAUAACGUAGGGAAACUUACGCUAAUACCGCAUACAUCCUACGUGUGAAAGCAGGGGAUCUUCGGACCUUGCGCGAUUGUAUGAGCCGAUGUCGGAUUAGCUAGGUGGCGGGGUAAAGGCCCACCAAGGCGACGAUCCGUAGCUGGUCUGACAGGAUGAUCAGCCACACUGGAACUGAGACACGGCCCAGACUCCUACGGGAGGAAGCAGUGGGGAAUCUUGCACAAUGGGCGAAAGCCUGAUCCAGCCAUACCGCGUGGGUGAAGAAGGCCUUCGGGUUGUAAAGCCCUUUUGUUGGGAAAGAAAAGCAGCAGGUUAAUACCCCGCUGUUCUGACGGUACCCAAAGAAUAAGCACCGGCUAACUUCGUG